GCAUCACUCAAAGAUGUUCCCGCGUUGUAUUAGCUAGUUGGUGAGGUAAAGGCUCACCAAGGCGAUGAUACAUAGCCGACCUGAGAGGGUGAUCGGCCACAUUGGGACUGAGACACGGCCCAAACUCCUACGGGAGGCAGCAGUAGGGAAUCUUCGGCAAUGGACGAAAGUCUGACCGAGCAACGCCGCGUGAGUGAAGAAGGUUUUCGGAUCGUAAAACUCUGUUGGUAGAGAAGAACGUUGGUGAGAGUGGAAAGCUCAUCAAGUGACGGUAACUACCCAGAAAGGGACGGCUAACUACGUGCCAGCAGCCGCGGUAAUACGUAGGUCCCGAGCGUUGUCCGGAUUUAUUGGGCGUAAAGCGAGCGCAGGUGGUUUAUUAAGUCUGGUGUAAAAGGCAGUGGCUCAACCAUUGUAUGCAUUGGAAACUGGUAGACUUGAGUGCAGGAGAGGAGAGUGGAAUUCCAUGUGUAGCGGUGAAAUGCGUAGAUAUAUGGAGGAACACCGGUGGCGAAAGCGGCUCUCUGGCCUGUAACUGACACUGAGGCUCGAAAGCGUGGGGAGCAAACAGGAUUAGAUACCCUGGUAGUCCACGCCGUAAACGAUGA
rnacentral:rRNA from 1 species